GCGGAAGCUGCGGCUGGAUCACCUCCUUUCUAGGGAAUACAGGAGCUCUUACUCCUGUAGGCGCCGAGCCCGUGAUGGCAGAACGUUGCCGUCCGAUGACUCGACUCGCCUGGAAAUCACGUCGACCUCGAUCGAAGCACGCUGUUGAGUUUUGAGAGACCGUCCUCCGGGGCGGCCGUCUCUAUUGCAGGGCGGGCGCCGGCUCGCGCGCACCUUGAAAACUCCAUAGCGGCAUAUACGUGUUCUUUCCGAUCAAGAGAAUAAGAGCACAC
rnacentral:misc_RNA from 1 species